rnacentral:lncRNA from 1 species
GUAGAUGCAAAAGCACCCUCCCUGAAGUGAUAAGCAUGUGCUACUAUUUUCUUUGGCCUUCUCUCUUUUAUGGUGGCAGACAUAAAUACUCAACAAAUAGAGAGUGCCAAAUAAGCUUUCUAUAUUCUAAUAUUCUCUACACCAACCAGCCCCAAUUGAUGUUUGGAUUCCCUCAAAGUGGCAAAGAAAGUUAUAAAGAUAAGGUGUUUCUCAAUGAGGAAUCAAGCACCAAUAGAAUGAAGAUUUGUCAGAUAAUAAUCUUUCUUUGAAAAUGCUGACUUUUCCUUUCUUGUUCUUCUUUUUUUCCUUCUUGUGUUGGUUGAUAAUAUAUCAAUAUCCUUCAAAAGCUUGCAAUUGCAAAGUGGUUUUGGACAUAUAAUAAAAAAAAGUUGCACUGUAUACUAACAACUGAUCCUCACAUUUAGGAAGGGUAAUCUGUUUUUAUCCCAAUUCUAUGGCUACACAAUUUUUCAUUUUUUGAUACGGGUUCUGCUACGUGUAAACUAAAAUCAGCCACCAAAGUCAGCCACUAGUAUAAAAUACAUGUUGGAAUAUAAAUACAUAUUGAAAAUAAAUUAAACCACACAUGUAUUUUAUAUAUAAAUAUAUUGGUGACUGAUUUUAGUGGCUAAUUUUAGUGUACAAAUAUCAUUUCCCUUUUGAUACUGUAGUUAUCGGUAAGGUUAUGUAUAAUCACGAAUUUUCU